CCUGACUCUUCCACCUCCUCUCUCUCCUCUCCUUCUGCACCACCCAAACCAUCACUAACCUGCCGAUAUCCCCUCCAAUUCGGCUCCACCAUCGUCCGCAAGCUCCAGUCCUUAGGUUUCACCAACCUCGUACUCUGCACCCACACCGACCCUGAGCUCACGCGCUAAAACGACAUCGAGUCAUUCGCAGCCGAAAAGCCCCAAUUCGUAAUCCUCGCCGCCGCUAAAGUCGGCGGCAUCCGCGCCACCAACACCUCCUGACUGACUUCAUCGCCCUCAACCUCCAAAUCCAGACCAACGUCAUCGACGCCCUCAACGUCCUUAUUCGCAGCUCUUUCAUCGAGUCAACCGCCUUCAUCGACCGCGACCCCUCCCUCAAGUCCCUCAUCUCCUGCCUCGACCUCGCCGCCAACCCCAACUCCCGAUCCCUGCCGAACUCAGCUUCUCCUAUCACCAGUGUUCUAAAACUCGGCCGCCCAGGCUGGGCGGCGAGUCUCCGCCGCGAUUAAUGUCAAAUCGGUGGAGGUGGGCGGUUGGAGUUUGGGUGGCCGCCUAAGCGGUCUAGGCGGGCGAUUAGAAGCCUCGAUGGUUGGGCGGACUGGCCUGGGCGGACUGUAAUUGAGGUCGGAUCG
rnacentral:lncRNA from 1 species